GUUCAGUUAACAGUGGUUUUGGCUCGAAGUGGAGUGACGCUUCUGCCCUCGCUUGAAAUUUUUUUGCAGCUUUGCCACUGACUUGGAAACAUCGGAUCUCGCCGCCGUUGGUCUUCUCUUUCUUCUAAAGUCAUGUAAUCAUCUUUAUCAAUUAUCAAGAACGAUCGAGAGAUAAAGAAAUCGGUCGUGUUUUUCUUUGCUUUGCAUGAAGAGAUAGAGAGAGGUAUCCGAGUCAAAUUCCUCAAGCGCUAGGGUUCCAAAGUUUGAACCUUUAAUCCGUUUGCAUAGUUGUGGCUUUUGGGGUUUCAGAGGGGAGAAAGGAAGAAACAGAAGAAAAAGGGGGAGACGGGAAGGACAGAGGAGGCAGAGGAAUCCAAAAGAGGAGAAGAACUGCUCUACUGCACAGAUUCAAGAAUGGUAGCACCAGAAACAUGGAGGAUAAUAACAAAGCAAAGUUAACUGAAAAGCUCUACACAGCAAAGAUCUGGAAGCAGCUGCAAAGGCUACUAAGGAAUCUUAUGUAAAAAUUGGAAAGCUAAAAAUUGUGUACCUCUUUGGCAAGCUAAAAAAUGAUCAGUUUAGAGAUGGAGGGGAGAAACUUGGCCAAUGCUACCUAGAAGAAAUUUGAGAUUGCAAGCAUGGUGGAAAAGACCACUGAAGUUAGGAGAUAUGAAGGAGGAAUUGCAAAAGUACACUUUAAUUCAGGAAAGAAAACCAAACCCGCAGCAUCGCACGGGAAGGAUUAUCUAGU